AGGGGUGCUGAAGGACUCAUUCAACAUUUGAAUCAUCUCCUCAGUCUGUGCAUCCUCGAACUUACGAUUAAGUUCAUCGUUCAUAGCUGCCUCAUCACGCUAUGCGCAGUCAUGAGAUCAUUGAGCCACUUUAUGUAAGUAUCUCUCACAGCAUGAGGAGCAUUGGUUGCAGGUUCUUCAGAUGCCUGAUCCAUAAGAACGUACAAAAUUCUCUUGUACUCCAACAUGAUCUUCAAGU
rnacentral:lncRNA from 1 species